rnacentral:rRNA from 1 species
CCUACGGGAGGCAGCAGUGAGGCAUAUUGGUCAAUGGGAGAGAUCCUGAACCAGCCAAGCCGCGUGAGGGAAGACGGCCCUAUGGGUUGUAAACCUCUUUUGUCGGAGAACAAAACCCGGGACGUGUCCCGGCCUGCGUGUAUCCGAAGAAAAAGCAUCGGCUAACUCCGUGCCAGCAGCCGCGGUAAUACGGAGGAUGCGAGCGUUCUCCGGAUUUAUUGGGUUUAAAGGGUGCGUAGGCGGUCCGUUACGUCAGCGGUAAAAUGUCGGGGCUCACCCCCAUCGAGCCGUUGAAACUGGCAGACUUGAGUUGGCGAGAAGUACGCGGAAUGCGCGGUGUAGCGGUGAAAUGCAUAGAGAUCGCGCAGAACUCCGAUUGCGAAGGCAGCGUACCGGCGCCAGACUGACGCUGAGGCACGAAAGCGUGGGGAUCGAACAGGAUUAGAUACCCGAGUAGUC